CCCGCCGGGGUCCCGCACGCACCGCGUCGGCGACGGCCAAGGUCAGCGGCGGCUGCGGCGCUAGCGAUGAUCGGGAGAGGAGGAUCUGCCUUCCCCGGUGGUGCGGAAGGCUUCGACCCUUCUCUGUCCCAUUUCCCUUCGCCAAGUCUGGCUUGAGCUUUUAUGGAUGCAAGCGGAAGGACAGCUCUCGUCUUUGUUGUGAGUGUGGCUUCUUGGGCUCCAGGGUAGAACCCUCAUCCCACCAGCACAGCUCCUUCACCCUGCUGGCAUAGACUUUCUGGCUUCCACUGCUGACCUUUGGGCCUUCCCAAUAUGGAUCCGUAAAAGAGACUGGCAUGAGUCCUUGUCAUGGGCGCUACACCUCCAUUUGGACUCUUGGGAGGCAUUGUCAUGGGCUCAAGGUUUUCAUCUGGACUCAUACAGGACAUUGCUGUAGGAUCCAGGCCCUUGGCUGAAUAUUCUGUGAAUAUUCUGAAUCUAGUGUUGUGGACAGAUUUCCUGCACUUUCUGUUUUUUCAACUCUGGGUGACCAUCAUAAAAUAAUGUUAUAAAUAAUAUUAUAAA